rnacentral:rRNA from 1 species
UAGGGAAUAUUGGACAAUGGGCGAAAGCCUGAUCCAGCAAUGCCGCGUGAGUGAUGAAGGCCUUAGGGUUGUAAAGCUCUUUUACCCGAGAUGAUAAUGACAGUAUCGGGAGAAUAAGCUCCGGCUAACUCCGUGCCAGCAGCCGCGGUAAUACGGAGGGAGCUAGCGUUGUUCGGAAUUACUGGGCGUAAAGCGCACGUAGGCGGCGAUUUAAGUCAGAGGUGAAAGCCCGGGGCUCAACCCCGGAACUGCCUUUGAGACUGGAUUGCUAGAAUCUUGGAGAGGCGAGUGGAAUUCCGAGUGUAGAGGUGAAAUUCGUAGAUAUUCGGAAGAACACCAGUGGCGAAGGCGGCUCGCUGGACAAGUAUUGACGCUGAGGUGCGAAAGCGUGGGGAGCAAACAGG